rnacentral:rRNA from 1 species
GGACUGCCAUCGACAAGAUGGAGGAAGGUGGGGAUGACGUCAAGGUCAUCAUGGCCCUUAUGUCCAGGGCGACACACCGUGCUACAAUGGCCGGCACAGCGGGAAGCGAGGCAGUGAUGCCAAGCGGAUCCCUUAAAGCCGGUCUCAGUUCGGAUUGAAGUCUGCAACUCGACUUCAUGAAGCUGGAAUCGCUAGUAAUCGCAGAUCAGCCAAGCUGCGGUGAAUACGUUCCCGGGCCUU